rnacentral:lncRNA from 1 species
CAUCUUUUAACUCAAGAACCAUAGAAUGGAUAUGAAAAAUGUAAUGGUUUUGUAAAAUUUGUUUGAAUGAUAAGUCUCCCCCAAAAAUUCACCUGUGAGGCAUUAUUAUAUUUUGUAUGGUAAGGCAGAGCAAAAGAAAAUGGCAAGAAAUUGGCCACUCAAAGUUCUCGGGACCAAAUAAAAAAUCACCCAUACUUUCUUUGGUUGAUGCAUUGGUGAGAAAUCUGAUGAUACCUGAGAGCCAAGGCAAAAGGGAUUUUGCAAACAGUUAUGACCUCUUGGAAAAAGGGAGGAUUGUGAUUAUGCAACUGUAACAUAACUGGAGUGGCAUUUUGUCAUUUUUUUUAAAGGAUCCAG